rnacentral:lncRNA from 1 species
CCUCACUGACGCGCGGCGGACUUCCAGCCGGUGCUGCGGGGGAUCACAGAGGCGGGCAGGCUGGGCAAAUGGGGCUGGGCGUACAAAAAGCAGCGGCCAAAGAGCCAGCUUCCCUGCUUACAGGGGGCCCCCAGCCACUGCCUCCAACGCAAAGGGCCUGGGACUCCGGGGCACGGUUGCUCCCUGACUUACAGGGCAGCCCCCAUCCCUACGGCCGGGAGAGGCUCCUUCUCUCCCAGUCCGGGGCACCUCGACCCACACCCCGCUAACGGGGCGGUCACCCCACACAGGCUGCCAGCAGAGCACAAACGCUCGCGCACCCAGACCCUGAUUACAGGCGGGUGGACGACACCCCUGGAGCCACAGAGCUCGGUUUCCCCCCCAGCGGCAGGAACAACUCUCAGCAGCCAGGCAGCGGGGCGGCACGGCCAAAGGCCGCAGUCGGGAUCCCAGCCUCAACUUCCAGGGAGGGCGCAAGCCCAAGCCCACACCUCGCAGCCCCGUGCCUCUGAAAGGCCGGGGCCACAUUCCCACCCGAGGGGGGGGGGGGUCUCUCGGAACACAGCUCACCAAGCACACACGGGGGGCACACACAGCCCUGCCUACAGGACCGUACCCCCGCACCUCACCCUCUCCAAGAAGCCCCGCGGAGCACGAGGCUCCCGCCAACGCCUGAGCUACAGGCGGGCCCGCCCGGCAGCAGCAGAACAUCACCAACGUCUUCUCUUGGGGAACCCAGGGAGCAGCCUCGACCCACCGAGCGGGGAGGUCACCCCACACGCAAGCAGCACCUCAACCUGCACCCUCUGACGGGACAGGGAGGGGUCAUUCCCACCAGCUGGAUGGCUAAAGCAGCCGGCUGCAACG